rnacentral:rRNA from 1 species
UACGUAGGGUGCAAGCGUUGCCCGGAUUUAUUGGGCGUAAAGAGCGUGUAGGCGGCCAGGUAGGUCAGCUGUGAAAACUCGAGGCUCAACCUCGAGACGCCGGUUGAAACCAUCUGGCUAGAGUCCGGAAGAGGAGAGUGGAAUUCCUGGUGUAGCGGUGAAAUGUGCAGAUAUCAGGAAGAACACCCGUGGCUAAGGCGGCUCUCUAGUACGGUACUGACGCUGAGACGCGAAAGCGUGGGGAGCGAACAGG